UACAGAGGGGGCAAGCGUUGUUCGGAAUUACUGGGCGUAAAGGGCGCGUAGGCGGCCCGCUAAGUCGAACGUGAAAUCCCCGGGCUCAACUCGGGAACUGCGUCCGAUACUGGCGGGCUUGAAUCCGGGAGAGGGAUGCGGAAUUCCAGGUGUAGCGGUGAAAUGCGUAGAUAUCUGGAGGAACAUCGGUGGCGAAGGCGGCAUCCUGGACCGGCAUUGACGCUGAGGCGCGAAAGCUAGGGGAGCAAACGGG
rnacentral:rRNA from 1 species